rnacentral:rRNA from 1 species
AGAGUUUGAUCCUGGCUCAGGAUGAACGCUAGCGGGAGGCUUAACACAUGCAAGUCGAGGGGUAAGGUCUUUUCGGAGAUACACGACCGGCGGACGGGUGAGUAACGCGUAUGCAACCUACCCUGUACAGGGGGAUAGCUUUCGGAAACGGAAAUUAAUACCCCAUGGUUCUAUGCUGUUGCAUGAUAGUAUAGAUAAAGAACUUCGGUACAGGAUGGGCAUACGUCCCAUUAGCUAGUUGGUGAGGUAACGGCUCACCAAGGCAACGAUGGGUAUGGGGUCUUAAAGGAUGGUCCCACACACUGGCACUGAGACACGGGCCAGACUCCUACGGGAGGCAGCAGUGAGGAAUAUUGGUCAAUGGGCGGAAGCCUGAACCAGCCAUCCCGCGUGCAGGAUGACAGUCCUAGUGAUUGUAAACUGCUUUUAUUUACCAAGAAAAUCAGCUACGUGUAGUUGUUUGACGGUAGUAAAUGAAUAAGCAUCGGCUAACUCCGUGCCAGCAGCCGCGGUAAUACGGAGGAUGCAAGCGUUAUCCGGAUUUAUUAGGUUUAAAGGGUGCGUAGGCGGGCAAUUAAGUCAGUGGUGAAAGUCUGUAGCUUAGCUAUAGAAUUGCCAUUGAUACUGGUAGUCUUGAGUUCGGUUGAGGUAUGCGGAAUGUGUAAUGUAGCGGUGAAAUGCAUAGAUAUUACACAGAACACCGAUUGCGAAGGCAGCAUACUAAGCCGUUACUGACGCUGAUGCACGAAAGCGUGGGGAGCGAACAGGAUUAGAUACCCUGGUAGUCCACGCUGUAAACGAUGAUCACUCGUUGUUGGCAAUACAUCGUCAGCGGCUAAGCGAAAGCAUUAAGUGAUCCACCUGGGGAGUACGUCGGCAACGAUGAAACUCAAAGGAAUUGACGGGGGCCCGCACAAGCGGUGGAACAUGUGGUUUAAUUCGAUGAUACGCGAGGAACCUUACCUGGGCUUAAAUGUAGAGUGCAUGACUUGGAAACAGGUCUUUCCUUCGGGACUCUUUACAAGGUGCUGCAUGGUUGUCGUCAGCUCGUGCCGUGAGGUGUCGGGUUAAGUCCCAUAACGAGCGCAACCCCUAUUGCCAGUUGCCAGCAUGUAAUGAUGGGGACUCUGGCGAGACUGCCGGUGUAAACCGAGAGGAAGGUGGGGAUGACGUCAAAUCAGCACGGCCCUUAUGUCCAGGGCUACACACGUGUUACAAUGGCCGGUACAAAGAGCAGCCACCUGGCGACAGGGCGCUAAUCU